UAAUUAUUCGUACAUAUUUGGGUAUCUUUUGUAUACCUUCGCUUGCCGACUUGCUCACGGGACUAGCUAACAGUCGUGGGUCGUGGGUAAGAAGUCGUAGGUCGUGGGUAAAAAGUCGUGGGUCGUGGGUAAAAAGUCGUGGGUCGUGGGUAAAAAGUCGUGGGUCGUGGGUAAAAAGUCGUGGGUAAAAAGGCGUGGGUCGUGGGUUAAAAGGCGUGGGUCGUGGGUUAAAAGGCGUGGGUCGUGGGUUAAAAGGCGUGGGUCGUGGGUUAAAAGGCGUGGGUCGUGGGUUAAAAGGCGUGGGUCGCGGGUUAAAAGGCGUGGGUCGUGGGUUAAAAGGCGUGGGUCCCGAGUACAAAGUCGUGAGUUGCAAGCAAAGUAUUUCCAUACAUUUACCUUUCUACCUUUCUUUGGAAUGCGUGUUU